CCUCCUUCAUUUGAUCACAUUGUCACUUACACACUACUGAUAUGAAGAACAUGGAUUUCAGUAAUCAAUGGUUGCCAUUGCUGCUGUAGUGGUGGCUAAGGUCACCCAUGGAAGAAGCAAACCUCACCAAUUCCUGUUGUAGAAAUGGUCGUCCAAUGUCUCCUCCUCCUCC